AGAGUAUGAUCCUGGCUCAGAACGAACGCUGGCGGCAGGCCUAACACAUGCAAGUCGAACGAAGGCUCCAGCUUGCUGGAUGUCCUUAGUGGCGCACGGGUGAGUAACGCGUGGGAACCUGCCCUUGGGUGGGGAACAACCGCUGGAAACGGCGGCUAAUACCGCAUACGCCCUUUGGGGGAAAGACUUCGGUCGCCCAAGGAUGGUCCCGCGUCUGAUUAGCUUGUUGGUGAGGUAACGGCUCACCAAGGCGACGAUCAGUAGCUGGUCUGAGAGGAUGAUCAGCCACACUGGGACUGAGACACGGCCCAGACUCCUACGGGAGGCAGCAGUGGGGAAUAUUGGACAAUGGGGGAAACCCUGAUCCAGCCAUGCCGCGUGAGUGAAGAAGGCCUUAGGGUUGUAAAGCUCUUUCAGUCGUGAAGAUGGUGACUGUAGCGACAGAAGAAGCCCCGGCUAACUCCGUGCCAGCAGCCGCGGUAAUACGGAGGGGGCUAGCGUUGUUCGGAUUUACUGGGCGUAAAGCGCACGUAGGCGGAUCGAUCAGUCAGGGGUGAAAGGCCUGGGCUCAACCCGGGAACUGCCUUUGAUACUGUCGAU
rnacentral:rRNA from 1 species